GACGUAGGGCGCGAGCGUUGUCCGGAUUUAUUGGGCGUAAAGAGCGUGUAGGCGGCUUGGUAGGUCUGCUGUGAAAACUCGGGGCUCAACCCCGAGACGUCGGUGGAAACCACCUGGCUAGAGUCCGGAAGAGGAGAGUGGAAUUCCUGGUGUAGCGGUGAAAUGCGCAGAUAUCAGGAAGAACACCCGUGGCUAAGGCGGCUCUCUAGUACGGUACUGACGCUGAGACGCGAAAGCGUGGGGAGCGAACAGG
rnacentral:rRNA from 1 species